GCCAUCACUAACAUUUACGCCCCCUCCUCACGCGCUCUCAAGCAACAAUUCCUUGAUGAACUGUUAGCUAUCGCCCAACCAGAUGACUCGCCCUGGCUACUCGUCGGUGACUUCAACCUCCUCCGUUUCCCCUCGGACAAAAACAAUGAUGCGUUUAGACAGACAGAGGCCAACGCCUUCAACCAAACUAUUGAUGAGCUUGCCCUCAUCGAGUUACCACUUCUAGACCGCCAAUUCACUUGGACUAACAAUAGAACCACACCCACCCUAGAACGCAUCGACCGCGCCUUCUUCAACUUAGCUUGGGUUGAUGCCUUUCCCAACUCCUCCCUCACAUCCCUCACGCGUUUCACGUAUGAUCACGUCCCCCUCAUCAUCCAUGUCACCACAACAAUCCCGCGCUCAAACUUCUUUAAAUUUGAACCUGAUUGGGCCAAAUUGCAACCCUGCCGAGAUAUAAUCUCCUCGGUUUGGGCCUCACAUCGGCCCACUUCACCGCCCAAUUCUGCCGCCUCCCUUGCCACACUGCUCAAACAUACUCGGGCCGCGCUCAAAAAAUGGGCUCGCUCGCGCAUUCCCGCCCCCUCCGUGAAUCUUGCUGCAAAAUUGCCAUCUCUGCCCUCGACCACGUAG
rnacentral:rRNA from 1 species